rnacentral:lncRNA from 1 species
GACAUUGUGAUGGUGUGGGUGGGGAGGAGGAGGCUGUCAGUGUGGUCUAGGGGAGUGUCCCCAGUCAGCACGGAGACAGGUAUUUUUCCCUCUCCACCCUGGUCUUCUCCUGUAACGUGUGGCCGCCUUUUCCAGCACGGCCUCCUGCCUUCCUGGUGCACUUUUUGGAGAACGUGGUGGAAUCAGAGGUUUCUGGCUGACUCGGUGG